UCGCUAACGGGAAGUUCCCCAACCUUGCAACGUCUAUAACAGCAACCAAUCAGCCUCAAUGGCCUCAAUCUAUAUAAAAUAUUAAUUAACAAGAUCAAUUAUGCCAAUCCGGUCAAAUCUCAAUAUCCCUAACGUUCAAGCUUAGAGUUGAAUCUUAAUAUUCAACCUAUUAAAUACCAUAUUUUUAUAGGUAAAGACAUAUCCUAAUAUCUCAAUCUAAACUCAAUGUUUAAUAUACAAGUCCAAUAUAUCGACAUUCAAGUCCCAAAAAUCAUAAUUAUGAGGUAUGCAAAUGAAAUUAGAAAAUCGACAAUAUAUGUAUGGUUUAGGUUUGAUCAGUUCUAAAUUUGCACAUCUACUUUGCUGAUUUCUCCAUUGAAAUCUUAUUUUUAUUUUUAGUCCCAUAUUACCCAUCAUUGCCUACUCAUUAUAUUUUCUAAUCUUUAAUAUAUCAUUGAUUCAUUAUUUUUACUAUCAUCAACAAAAGAACAUCACUGCAAUACAUACAUAUGUAGAGUCAAAAUCUAUGUUACUGAAUCAAAAUAAAUAGCUGAGUCUAUAAAAUUCUUACGUUGUCAGUUCACUAUUGCCGCACCAAUUCCCGGAAAACCCCUCUGAUAAUCUCCUUGUCAAUUAUAAGCCCUAAUGUACUUAACUUCUACUACAAUCCCAUAUGCUGGCAUUAACGUAUUGGGCUUGACCCACUU
rnacentral:lncRNA from 1 species